rnacentral:rRNA from 1 species
AUUGAACGCUGGCGGCAGGCCUAACACAUGCAAGUCGAACGAGUGGCGGACGGGUGAGUAAUGUCUGGGAAACUGCCUGAUGGAGGGGGAUAACUACUGGAAACGGUAGCUAAUAACGCAUACCAUCGGAUGUGCCCAUAUGGGAUUAGCUAGUAGGUGGGGUAACGGCUCACCUAGGCGACGAUCCCUAGCUGGUCUGAGAGGAUGACCAGCCACACUGUGACUGAGACACGGUCCAGACUCCUACGGUAGGCAGCAGUGGGGAAUAUUGCACAAUGGGCGCAAGCCUGAUGCAGCCAUGCCGCGUGUAUGAAGAAGGCCUUAGGGUUGUAAAGUACUUUCAGCCGGGAGGCGUUACCGGCAGAAGAAGCACCGGCUAACUCCGUGCCAGCAGCCGCGGUAAUAC